GGAAGAACACAGGAAGUGAAAUAGCUCUAUCCUAUUCCAACGGUGGCGGGUAGCUCAUUUCCGGGAAGCCGGAUCUUCCAGGAUCACGCAGCCAGACCUCGCGGGAUCACCGACCCAGAUGUCGCGGGACUUGGAGACGUCAUUCCCGAGCGGGAGCGGGGCCUUGCGGGGCCGGCGGCCGGGGGAGUCGUGCGUGCCGGACAGGCCCCUGGCCCGGAAAGGAUACGUGGUGCGCGAGGGUCUGAAGCUAAAAUGUCGUCACCAGGGGGUAAGCUUUACGCCCAACAUGGAGCUUGAACUCGUGGCCCUGAGAUCGAGUUUCAUGCUUACAGAACUGACUGAGUCAGCUAGGUGCCUCAGGAAAACAAAUGUUCCAUGUCUGUGGUAAGUCAUAAUCUAUUUCUAUAGCAGCACCAGCUGCAUAUGCCUUCCAGUCAUUAAAAUGAUGCUUAGCCAAUGCAGUAUAAACUGUAAUUCCAUUAUUCUGUUUCUCUAAAAUAAGAGCUAACAACACAGAAUACAUACCUUUUGUUUGCUACCAUCUGCAAUAUCUUACCUCAUGUUAGGGGAAAAAAAAAAAGAACAGAAUGCUUAUUAAAAUACUAAAGAACCUAACGGGCAGUGAGAUGCUUAUGUGAAUAUCAGAGUUGACGAGUAAAUGUAGUGAAGGCUGCCAAAAAUCAGAAUUACAAUUACUUAAUGAAGAUUUUGAUUGUCUGCUCUGGAUAAACCUGUAAAAUUGCCCAAGGUGCCUUAAGAGACCAAGUACUGGCCCUUUCAUUAAUCAGAAGAAUGCCCAAGUCUAAAUAUUGACUGGUGAUUUGCUUUCCUCUCUUGAAGGAUCUCAGGAGAAUGGCACUAUAAAGAAAGAAAGCCAAAUUCACAAAAUCUGAGGCUUGGAGUAAACAUGAAAUGAGAAUGCAGUCCUUUUCGAGUAUUAAAAAUCAAUCCUUGUACUAAAAAUGAAUUAUCUGGCUCCUAUAAAAGCAAAAUGCCAACACUUAGACUUAGCUUUUUUAUACAUUUGCCAUUAAUUACACUUUUAAGUGAUAUAUAUGCUCUGAACUCCUAGUCAUUCAAUUAAAAUUUGGAAAGUAAUACUUACCAAGAUUAAAUCAAUUCUGGUUAUAUUUUUUCAUGUGCAUGCUGUGCAUGUUUCAUAAUUUUAAACUAUACAAAUAUUUAUAUUAUGCAUCCUCAAAUAGUAUUCCAAAUGAAUAUAUAUUUGAAAUGUUGAAGCUGUUUU